AACGAACGCUGGCGGCAUGCCUAACACAUGCAAGUCGAACGAGACCUUCGGGUCUAGUGGCGCACGGGUGCGUAACGCGUGGGAACCUGCCCUUAGGUUCGGAAUAACUCCCCGAAAGGGGUGCUAAUACCGGAUAAUGUCUUCGGACCAAAGAUUUAUCGCCUUUGGAUGGGCCCGCGUUGGAUUAGCUAGUUGGUAGGGUAAAAGCCUACCAAGGCGACGAUCCAUAGCUGGUCUGAGAGGCUGAUCAGCAACACUGGGACUGAGACACGGCCCAGACUCCUACGGGAGGCAGCAGUGGGGAAUAUUGGACCAUGGGCGAAAGCCUGAUCCAGCAAUGCCGCGUGAGUGAUGAAGGCCUUAGGGUUGUAAAGCUCUUUUACCCGGGAUGAUAAUGACAGUACCGGGAGAAUAAGCUCCGGCUAACUCCGUG
rnacentral:rRNA from 1 species